rnacentral:rRNA from 1 species
UACGGGGGGGGCAAGCGUUGUUCGGAAUUACUGGGCGUAAAGGGCUCGUAGGCGGCCAACUAAGUCAGACGUGAAAUCCCCAGGCUCAACCUGGGAACUGCGUCUGAUACUGGAUGGCUUGAAUCCGGGAGAGGGAUGCAGAAUUCCAGGUGUAGCGGUGAAAUGCGUAGAUAUCUGGAGGAAUACCGAUGGCGAAGGCAGCCCCCUGGGUCAAAACUGACGCUCAUGCACGAAAGCGUGGGGAGCAAACAGG